UUGGUUGUAGCAUAAUUGGCUAAUGUGUUAGUUUUGGGAACUAAAGAGUAUAGGUUCGAGUCCUAUCAACCGGAAA
rnacentral:tRNA from 1 species